AGGACGAACGCUGGCGACGUGCUUAACACAUGCAAGUCGAGCGGAAAGGCCACUUCGGUGGUACUCGAGCGGCGAACGGGUGAGUAACACGUGAGUAAUCUGCCCUCCACUUUGGGAUAGCCACCGGAAACGGUGAUUAAUACCGGAUAUGACCUUUGCCCGCAUGGGUGUUGGUGGUAAAGUUUUUCGGUGGGGAUGUGCUCGCGGCCUAUCAGCUUGAGUGGUGGGGUAAUGGCCUACCAGUGGCUUCGACGGGUAGCCGGCCUGAGAGGGUCGACCGGCCACGACGUGGGACUGACGACCACGGCCCAGGCCUCCGUACGGGACGGCAGUCAGGUGGGAAU
rnacentral:rRNA from 1 species